GACCUUUUGUCCACUGGGCUGUGGGGAUCUCUUUCCUCCUCAGCCAGGGCUUGAGGAUCGUGGAUCAUCAUCAUAAGGACUGCCAUGAGUGGACAACCCUUUUUUCCCACCUCAGACAAUC
ensembl:scaRNA predicted gene, 26215